AUUGAACGCUGGCGGCAGGCCUAACACAUGCAAGUCGAGCGGAUGAAGGGAGCUUGCUCCUGGAUUCAGCGGCGGACGGGUGAGUAAUGCCUAGGAAUCUGCCUGGUAGUGGGGGAUAACGUCCGGAAACGGGCGCUAAUACCGCAUACGUCCUGAGGGAGAAAGUGGGGGAGCUUCGGACCUCACGCUAUCAGAUGAGCCUAGGUCGGAUUAGAUAGUUGGUGGGGUAAAGGCCUACCAAGGCGACGAUCCGUAACUGGUCUGAGAGGAUGAUCAGUCACACUGGAACUGAGCCACGGUCCAGACUCCUACGGGAGGCAGCAGUCGGGAAUAUUGGACAAUGGGCGAAAGCCUGAUCCAGCCAUGCCGCGUGUGUGACGAAGGUCUUCGGAUUGUAAAGCACUUUAAGUUGGGAGGAAGGGCAGUAAGUUAAUACCUUGCUGUUUUGACGUUACCAACAGAAUAAGCACCGGCUAACUUCGUG
rnacentral:rRNA from 1 species